AAUAAGUUUAUUUUUUAGUUUUUGAUGUUAUCUUUGAGUCUUUUAUCUUAUUUGAAAUUUUUAUGUGAUUAAUAUUUUUAUUGUUAUUAUACGAUAAAACAUGAAUAAUACCUUACAUGUGAUUAUUUUUUUUGAGUUUUUUUAAAAUUUUUAAAUAAGAUAGAUGGUCAAACACAGAACACAGAAACU
rnacentral:pre_miRNA from 1 species